rnacentral:rRNA from 1 species
UACGAGAGGCCCAAACGUUAUUCGGAAUUACUGGGCGUAAAGCGCACGUAGGUGGCGACGUAAGUCGGGUGUGAAAGCCCCGGGCUCAACCUGGGAAUUGCAUUCGAGACUGCAUUGCUGGAGUACGGAAGAGGAAGGCGGAAUUCCCGGUGUAGCGGUGAAAUGCGUAGAUAUCGGGAGGAACAUCAGUGGCGAAGGCGGCCUUCUGGUCCAGUACUGACACUCAAGUGCGAAAGCGUGGGGAGCAAACAGG